CAAAUUAGAGCUUGUGGAAAGUAUUUCGUUUACAUUGAAAAGAAAUUAUAAAAUAAUUAGUUUGA
rnacentral:tRNA from 1 species